GAUGAAGAACGCAGCGAAAUGCGAUAAGUAAUGCGAAUUGCAGAAUUCCAGUGAGUCAUCGAAUCUUUGAACGCACAUUGCGCCCUUUGGUAUUCCGAAGGGCAUGCCUGUUCGAGCGUCAUUAUCACCCCUCAAGCCCCUCGGCUUGGUGUUGGGCGACGUCCUCUUUGGGGACGCGCCUCGAAACGCUCGGCGGCGUGGCACCGGCUUUAAGCGUAGCAGAAUCUUUCGCUUUGGAAGUCGGGGCCCCGUCUGCCGGAAGACCUGCUCGCAAGGUUGACCUCGGAUCAGGCAGGGAUACCCGCUGAACUUAAGCAUAUCAAUAAGCGGAGGA
rnacentral:misc_RNA from 1 species